GUAACCAAGCAACAAUGAGCGCUGAUGAGAAGCGCUCUGAAACGGAGGUCUUGAGCUCUCUGUGGACACAGGUUACCUGAUCGACAGGUGGAGGGGCGGAGCCACAUGUUGUAAUGAUUAGUUUAAAUAAUCUGAACUCAUUCUGACAAAGUCGUUAAUCCGAUAAAAACCUGAUAAAGUUUGAGCCUCACAUCUUAGUAUAUUUUUAAACGUCAAAUAAAACCAUCAGCAGCUCAAAAAUCCUCGGAGGAAAUAUUCAUGUACGAACAGCUGAUUGUUUAAUUUAGGAACUUAAAAAUUAUGUGAAUCCAGGUAUUACUUUUCCUCGUGCAGCUUUAACUGUAGCGGGUAAAUUAAGAGCAUGAAUCUCCUGUAGUUUAAUGUGAAAUGAUCGUGUUGUAGUGAAACUCUUCAGUGUUUAAGUGCCUUUGUAUCAACCAGCAGUGCAGGAAUAAUCCAGGGACGCGUUUGAUUCAAAGCUAACGUGCUGCUGAAACAGGAAACGGCUCCAGUGUUUUAUGACGUUAAUAUAAAUCAUAUAAAACUGUUAAAUCAGACCGGAUGGAGUUACAUAUUUUUUAAUUUGAUCAUAGAUCUGCAAGAAGAAAAACUACAAUGCAGUAUGAGGGGAUAAGAGAAUAAAAGCAUAACAAUAGGCAUGUAUUAGUUGGUAUUUUAUUUUGAAGGAUAAUUUCAGAAGAGCAGCCACCUGCUCGUGCGAGAUUAACAAACUGAAUACUUAAAUUUCCCCCGUUUACGACGUAACUCUAAAUAUCACGGCGUUUUCAAAGAAGAUUAUGACUGAAUUAUCGUGAUAUUGCGACUUUAUUCACAAAAUAUUACGACUUUUUUCUCUUAAUACUAUAUUGACCUGAUAUCAAACUUUUCUUUAUUUUAUGAUCUAUGUCAAAAUCAUGACUUUGUUCUUUUACGACUGUAUUCCCCUAAUAUCCGACUUUAUUUUACCUAUAUUGACGAUCUUUUUUCAUCAUAAAAUAAUGACUGUUCUGUUUUUUAAAUUUAAUUAAUUUAAUUGUUUUUUUUAUUUUACGACUUUGACUUUGUCCCCUUAUGACUUUAUAUAUAUAUAUAUUAAUAUAUAUAUAUAUUAAUAUAAUUCCCAAAAUAUUACGAUACAAAUUUCUCUCAACAUUAUUCUUGAAGUAUUAACCCUUUGUUUGCGUUGUAUUGCAAUGUAAUCUUCAAGCAUUACAAUUUUAUUACUACAAAUUAUUCUUGAAAUAUUUAAAUUUUAUUCUCAAAAUAUUUAAGACUUUAUUCUCUUAAUGUUAUGACUCCAUUCUCUGAAUCUUUUUGUUCUUAUAUGUAGAGCUCGACCGAUAAUUCAGCCGGCCGAUAUUAACAUAUCCGGUGACUAUCGGAGUCUUCUAAUUUUAUCUCAGAUAUGCUCCGAUAUUACUCGAUUUAUUCACCAGUCAAAAAGCAUUUCAUUUGAGUUUUAUUGUGUUACACUAGCAGUUCUCUUUCACCAGCAGAGGGCGCUAUAUGGAUUACAACAAGCAUCAUCACUGUCCAGAGUGUCGAGCGGUGAUGCACUAAAUGCUCAGUUACUUUCCAGCUGAGUGACCAUCUCGUCUUCAUUUUAAAUAUUUUCCACAAGUGUUUGAUGACUGUGGGAUCAACACAAUCAAGGUGUAAAUCUAUAUAUUUAUCUCUACAGAUGAAACAUAGAUUUAAAAAAAGAUAUCGGCCGAUAUAUCGGAAUCAGAUUCUUUUCUCCCUGAUAUCGGUAUCGGCCCCAAAAAAGUAAUAUCGGUUGGGCCCUACUUACAUCAUACUCUGUCAUAGAAAACAGAUCCAAUGACUUCAUAUGGGAUCUUCUUGAGGGAUCAGGAAUCUUCGAUAUGAGUUAAAAUCAAGCAAAAACUAAUUGUUAAAAAGUUUCAGGAAUAAUAAAAAACAGUCGUUUGUACUGAUCAAUCCGUCGGUCCUUUAAGAGGAAAGAUAAAUAAAUGUUUUUACCAGGAAAUUAAGAGAAGCUGGGGCUUAUGUUAGAUAAUAAAUAAGUACUGUACGACUUAAUGAGGGUUUGAGUUUAUAAAGUUUUAUAAAUUCAAUCAUGUUUGGGGCUCAAACUUCGCCAAGAAAACCUUCUGGAGGAAGAGUUGAGUUGGCUCCGUUUUCACAGGUAGCUCAAAUCAACUUUUUCUCCGAGACAUUUAAAUGUGUGUUAUUGUGGACUUUAACUGGCCGAGUGUUUAAAGGUCAAAGGUCAAAGGUCACAGUGUGUGUACACGAGGAGUUUCUGAAUCGUCUGGUGUGUUUUUUAGUCCCUUAGUGGCAAAUAUGUAGAAACGAGACAAUUCAGGAAAUGUUACAGCGACAAUGCUACGUCGAUGAAUUCUAUAUUCCUAAUAUUUAAUAGAACAAUGCACGACUUGUAACCUUGAAUUUAAAGCUGCAUUUAUAAAUAUAAUAAAUGAAAAGGAGGUGCGAGAAGCCGUUUAGCCUUUUUUAGCUCCUAGUUUCUGUUUUUUUAGGCAGAAAAUAGGAGCCAAGUGAUUAUCUCAGGAGUCUGUGACCAAAAACAGAGCUGAAUAUUUUGAAUUAUAUACAAGACACGGACGCAAACGCCCCUCCGAUGGGAUGUUCCAGGUAGCAAGUGUAAAUGCAAAAACUGCUCCUCUGCCCCCUGGUGGCGUGGAGCUUUUUUUUUAAGCGGCUUUAAAUGAUCAAAGUUAAAAGACUUUUAUUAGGUGGAAUUAUAUUGAUUUAACCGCAAUAGUUUCUCCGAGGGAAACACGUUUAAUAUGAACCUUUAGAUAAGCUCUUCUUGUGUGUUUGAGAUGUCAUAAAAAGUUGUACAAGUUGUUGUACAUUGUUGGAUUUUGACUGCACAGGUUUUCUUAAGGUGGAAAUGUGAUACUCUUCAUGUGACAGCACUUAUUACAUCUCUUAUUUUUUAUUUUAUUACACUGUACUGUAUUAAAGUCGUUUAAAGGAAGAAUGUGCGACAUGUUACACAUAAAUGUUGUUGUCAGAGUCGUGUUUACAUGGACGGGACGGCCGGCUCCUCCCCUUGUGUAUAAAAGCUGUUUUAGUCAAGAACUAGAGAGAAGAAGAACAUACUCACUGAUUAUUUGGAUGUUAGUAAGAGUUUUUAGAUCACGCUCAUUCUGUGUUAGUUUACAUGCAAUGUGAAGCUACGAGCUAACUAAAGAGCGCUAACAUUAGCAUGCUAACACAACAAUGUGAAGCUACGAGCUAACUAAAGAGCGCUCACCGUUUACGUGAAACUCCUUCGAGUGAAUGUGAGUGGAGGGGGCUUGGAGGUGUGUCUCUGGAGGAGAGCGGAGGCUUCAGUAUGGAGGAGGCGUGGCCUAACAGCAGUUUGUUUUGGUUUCAUGCUGAAGCUCAAGGGCGACAUCUACUGGAUCAAAAAGUCACACAUUCUUCCUUCAAAAAUGUAUUUGCUCUGAAAACUGUAAAAACAAAAUUACAACCUUAAACGAAGCGCAAACUUUAUUUUCUUAGAUGAAUUAUGAAAGAUGAUCGCUGACCCCAGAUGAACAAAUUAACUCUUCACAACUCUAGUAGUUUAGACCACUACAUUGAGAUCAAUCAGAUGCCCAAAAAUUAUUUAGUAAAUGAGAUUAUGCAUAUUUGCCAAUUCCGGCAUUUUAAGGCUGCUGCGUUUAUGGUUGAAGUUUUUUACAGUGUUUUGCAAAAUGUCAGAUAUUUCGCAGAUUCUGUGAAGAUGUUUUUGCUCUAUUGGAAGUUUAAUCUAAUGUGUGAACAUCCAUUAAACUCUCUUCAAAAGACAAA